UACGGAGGGUGCAAGCGUUAUCCGGAUUCACUGGGUUUAAAGGGUGCGUAGGUGGCCUGUUAAGUCAGGGGUGAAAGACGGUAGCUCAACUAUCGCAGUGCCCUUGAUACUGAUGGGCUUGAAUGAACUAGAGGUAGGCGGAAUGUGACAAGUAGCGGUGAAAUGCAUAGAUAUGUCACAGAACACCAAUUGCGAAGGCAGCUUACUAUGGUUUGAUUGACACUGAGGCACGAAAGCGUGGGGAUCAAACAGG
rnacentral:rRNA from 1 species